rnacentral:lncRNA from 1 species
GCCCCAACAAAAACCUAAUUUUUACCCAAUUUACGUAAACUCGUAACUCUUAUAAUUAAAUUAUCAGCUUAACUAAUGAAGAUGUAGGAUGGCAUGCUACCUCCAAUUCGCAAUCCAAAACAAACACUAAAAAAAGAAUAAUGAGAAAAAGAUGAUAAUAUAUAUAUAUAUAUAUAUACAAAGAAAAAUAAUUAUUUUAUAAAAAUUUAUAAGCUGAGAUCUAAACUCAACUAUUUCACAAAUAAAUUUUUUUUUAAAUAAAUUAAAUAAAUUAAAUCCAACGAGUAUAUGCAUAGCGCACACACUCUCACGCCACGCA